ensembl:lncRNA
ACUUUUGCAGCAACAAAGCCUCCUUAUGCUAGAUCGACAAUAUAGUUAUUUAAUGUUUAGAAGUAGGCUAAGUUCACAAUAAUAAUAAUAAUUAUUAUUAUUAUUAUUAUUAUUAUUAAGACAAUAACCGUAUACGUUUUGUUUUUAAAGCGGCUUGUUUUAUUUAUACAAUCAAAAAACAACAAUAAUCGUUGAAUAAUGAAUAGGCUUUUAGGGGUUUUCAACUAAAAUGUAUUAUGGAAAACGAUCCCGAUCGAGAAUGCUGGACACAAUAAGAAGUCAGCUGAGCGAUGAGGCUCGCCUAGGGUAGGAGUCGUGAAUCUCGCGACACUACAGCUCCGAUUAUAUUGCAGUACAAUGGUACCAUAUCUCCUCGGCUGGCAAAUAAUUAAACUUGUACUAGAAUUCAUCUUGAUUUGAAGGCUUAGUGGCUUCAAAUCGUGGUAAUGGAGAAAUGGAGAUGUCACGUGCGCACAGAACUCAUACAGCGAGACAGCUCACAGAAGGAUCCAUAUGCUGGCGUCUUCAGAAGUUUGUUUCAGCUGCAAGAUAAUUUUGAAAUUCGUCGAGAAAUUUGGGAAGAUCUGCAGAGCCAAAGUUUAGAACAAGAUGGAAUAACAUUUGUGGAACUUCACCUCUGGUUAAGAGAGAGUGAACACCUGUCUAAAAAGUUGUCUCAGACCGUCUCUGACCUGACCAGUGUUUUGUAUUUCAAAGAGGCUGAGCUACAGUACUGGCAGUCUCAGGUAGCCCGUUUCCGUCGGGAGGCUCUGAGCCUGGCUGGAGGCAGCAACUCGCUGAAGGCCACCCUGAACCACCAGGAGUUCACCCUUGAGAGGCAGGCCAAGGAGCUGGCCGCCCUGCAGAAGGAGCACAUGCGCCUCCGGGAGGGGAUGGUGGAGGCCUGGAAGGAGAAAGGGGACCUCCUCCAGAGAUGGAUGGAGGAGAAGAAAGAGGAGGCGGCAAGGGUUAAUAAGUACAAUGACGCACAGGAAAGGUGGCGUCGGUUGGCCAGACGGCUGAAGAAACAACUUCGGGGAGAAACGGUCAAACCUUCGGAGCAGACGGAGAUUGACGUGACGAGUGGCGAAAAAGAAGCAGCAUUCAAACUAGAAUGAGUGACAGCAUUUAUUUUGUAACUUUUUUUCAUCUGUAACUAAUAUCGCUUAAAUAACUUGUUUUACAUUCGCAGUUUAAUGUGAGCACCAUUCCUAGAAGCACAAUCCGAACUCCACUUAAACAGCAACUAAAUAUGCACCUGAUGCAACUCUCUAUUGACUACAUUUAAUGUUGUUUAGAUGGACCGUUUUUAUUGAAUCAACAUGGGCAGGCAUCACUUGUGCAUCAAGCUUACAAACCAAACUAAUAAUUCAAGAUUAUAUGCACCUCCUGAUGACGUUGUAACAUGUUUGUGUUUGUGUAACCUUAUCGGAUUGGUUUUUAGUCCGAUAAGAUCUUAAAGUGAAUCAUGUUUUUUUUACUUUUUAGUGUGACUGACAAGCCUACAUUAUUAUAUUUUAAAAAGACUCGUGGUAGAUAUGCUAUAUAAAUAUAUUGUGUUAUCAACUUUUUUUUAAAAUAAAGCAAUGUGUAACGUGCGAGAUUAAUUAUUUUUUGUUCACAGUUUUCAUGCAUUUUAUUUAAAAGCCCUUGUGUCAUCAUUGUUAGCCAACACAAUAUCGCAUCGUAUUUAUUCAAUCCAAUAUAUAUUCUAACAUGUAUUCGGAGAUAAUGUUCCACCAGUAGUCUACUCUACGCUGUGGGCUAACGGUACUCAAAAGAAGAACUCGGGUGUAAAUAGUUUAACAAUGAAGCUGAUCUCCAUGACAAACAGCCCAACAGCAGCCCGGUGUCACCGUCGCCAUAGUCACCGUGUUGGUCCUUUAAGUCGACGCGUGCAGGAGUUUCAAAACAAGACAAACACAGACAGCAACAGGAUUUACAUUUUAACAUUUCUCUAAAAUGCCCAAAGGAGGGAAGGGAUAUUCUUCCGCGAGCAAUGAUGGCAAAUGGUAUGCCCAUGACACAGGGUUCAAAGAAGCGUGCACCAUCACUGGGACCAUGCUGGGGCAGGUUGUAUCGUCUGGGCCGCAAGAACUACGAGUUGAACGUCAUCUCAAGUCGAAAAAGCAGGAUCCUCCUGAUUUUCGAUUCUCGACCCACGACAACAGAGAAGCGAUACGAGACGGGAUCUGCCUCUUUUCUCAGGGUCUUGGGCGCAAGAAGUGUCCAGAUGACCACAGACAGCACAACUCUCACUUCUGCCUGUGCCACGAUGAUCCUGUGGCAGUAAGUUGGCCGUCGACCGCGGGGGACCUCACGGCCUACCAGACUGAAGGCUUAGUGAGGAAGGACCAGGCAGAGGCCGUCACCAACAGGCGUUUCCCCCGCAGCCAUCAGGAGAAGUCAGCAGAGGCCGCCGCGGCCCAGGCCAGGGAACCUGCUUUCAUGUGGUUUGGACGACACGACUCAGAGGACUCUGUGCCCCUAGGGGUCCUUGCAGCUACUAACUGCUUAGCCACGCGAAUAUAAGCCGCGGUUUCUUGCAUCAUUACAUUGUAAGCUCUCCCUUAGUAAGAGGGGAGUAAUUGAACGUGUUUCUAUUUUUUUUUUUUUUUUUUUGCCAGCAGAGGGCAGCAUAUAUUCUAGUUUAAAUCUGCGAGCAAAUUGGGAUGAAAUGGAUAUCAAUGGUUUGGUCUUGGUUCGUUCCUUUCAAACCGCAUACUAUGUAGGCAUAACAAUAACCAUUAAACAAUGCGCCAUCAAGUGAUUGAGCAAGAGUAAGCAAGUGAUAACGUCCACUUAUAGAAUGAAUUGGGAGUUAUUUGAGCUAAAGGCCUAUAUGUAUAGAUUUUUGUCACCAAUCGAUUGCACAUUAAAAGCCCUGUUGAAAUGGAAAAAAGUAAAUGAUUUCCACAUGGACUUUCAACCACCCUGUAAAUCGUCA